ACUUUAAGUCUUUUAAUAAGUCUAUUCUGCAGUUGUACUGGAUUUGCCUAAGUAUAGAAUUUGCUUUAUUAAUCCUGUAUUAUAUUCAGAAUGUACAUUUCACCCACAGGCUCAUCUUCCUUUUCACUUUGGAGAAUUCUCAGUUAUUUUUCCUUCAAAUGUUGCUUUUACACAGUAUUAACUAGAUCUUCCUACACUAAUUCAUUACAAACACACUUUUAUAUUAGUUGGUACAAACAGUGAAUGUGCUUACACAUUUGCAGAUUAGUUGAAGAGGCUAAAGUUUACCUGAUUAUUUUCUGAUUCAUGUUUUUUAUCCAAUAACUAACUGUUAGAAUUGGUUACAACCAUAUCAUCAGUGCCUUUUGUCCUAGAAUUGAGUUAUGCUAACAUUUCUGUUUGAUUAUAACAAGAAGAGAGUGAAUGCUCAGCUGUGAUGACAUACUUCAAGCCAUCAUGGGAGAUGGAGCUAUCAUUCACGUGUCUCAUCAGACAAGUUGCAAGAUGCUCCCAAAUGGCACCUCAUUACCUGUAUGCACGUAGCUUCAAGAGAGAACAUUAGACUGAAGGCGUCACCUCCACACCAUCUGGAAAGCCAUCAUGAAGGUGCUAUGCUGCUAUUUUUAUUACCAAGAAUCAUGUGGACUCUACUGAAGAUUACUAAAGUUUCACUGAGUGUAAUAUCUCUAUGUACAUAGAAUGGAAAGGAAAAUAGGAACCUGCCCAAGAAAAUGAAUCCUGAGUCAUGAAAGCCUCCUGGUAGGUACUUUCUACCUCAGCAAUGUAAACUCAGGGCAGCUGACCAAUGAGGCGUCCCCAUGUGUUUGUGAACAGUUGGCGGCUCAGUUAGAUAGCCUAGCCAUCUAGGCAUUUAUAAAUUCAAGGAAAAUGGUAACCACCACAGACAAAGAUAAAUCCUAUCCAUCACAAACCACUUCCGCUAAGGCGGCACUGUUAAUGUUUUCAUCUGCAGGGAUUGCUGCAUUUGCCCACUCAAGCAAGGGCCCCGUUAGAUUUUCUCCUAUCCUGAAAUAAGUUGUUCUACAUUUUAGAGUUUACCCCCUUUAACAAUG